CCUACGGGAUGCAGCAGUCGAGAAUCAUUCACAAUGGGGGAAACCCUGAUGGUGCGACGCCGCGUGGGGGAAUGAAGGUCUUCGGAUUGUAAACCCCUGUCAUGUUGGAGCAAAGUACAACGAUAGUACCACAAGAGGAAGAGACGGCUAAAUCCGGGCCAGCAGCCGCGGUACUACAGAGGGCUCAAGCGUUGUUCGGAAGUACUGGGCGUAAAGGGUGUGUAGGCUGUUUCGUAAGAUGGAUGGGAAGGUGGCGGGCUUAACCCGGGUACGGCAUAUGAUACUGCGCGACUAGAGUACGCGAGGGGGAACCGGAAUUCCCGGUGUAGCAGUGAAAUGCGUAGAUAUUGAGAGGAACACUGGUGGCGAAGGCGGGUUCCUGG
rnacentral:rRNA from 1 species